GCCGGGUGUGGUGGCGUGCGCCUGUAAUCCCAGCUACUUGGGAGGCUAAGGCAGGAGAAUCACUUGAACCUGGGAGGUGGAGGUUGCAGUGAGCUGAGAUGGUGCCGCUGCACUCUAGCCUGGGCGACAGAGUGAGACUCUGUCUUGG
rnacentral:SRP_RNA from 1 species